rnacentral:rRNA from 1 species
ACAUGCCUACAACUUAGCGUUAAUGCACUAGAUCCCAUUAGAAAUCCUCAGUUAAGCGCGCUCGGGAUAGAGUAGUACUGGGAUGGGUGGUCACCCAUGAAGUCUUAGUAUUUUACAUGCC